AUACUUACCUGGCGGGGGCAACACUAUAAUCAAGAAGGUGGCUUGCCCAAAGUGAGGCUUAGCUAUUGCACUCAGGCUGCGCUGACCUUUGUGAAUUUCUCAAAUGUAGGAAUCUCAACUGCAUAAUUUCUGGUAGUGGGGGACUGUGUUCACACUCUCUCCUU